CCUACGGGGUGCAGCAGUGAGGAAUAUUGGUCAAUGGACGAGAGUCUGAACCAGCCAAGUAGCGUGAAGGAUGACUGCCCUAUGGGUUGUAAACUUCUUUUAUAAAGGAAUAAAACGAGGCACGUGUGCCUUUUUGCAUGUACUUUAUGAAUAAGGAUCGGCUAACUCCGUGCCAGCAGCCGCGGUAAUACGGAGGAUCCGAGCGUUAUCCGGAUUUAUUGGGUUUAAAGGGAGCGUAGAUGGGUUGUUAAGUCAGUUGUGAAAGUUUGCGGCUCAACCGUAAAAUUGCAAUUGAUACUGGCAGUCGUGAGUACAGUUGAGGUAGGCGGAAUUCGUGGUGUAGCGGUGAAAUGCUUAGAUAUCACGAAGAACCCCGAUUGCGAAGGCAGCUUACUAAACUGUGACUGACAUUGAUGCUCGAAAGUGUGGGUAUCAAACAGGAUUAGAUACCCUGGUAGU
rnacentral:rRNA from 1 species